AAAUGAAUAGACGGGGGCCCGCACAAGCAGCGGAGCAUGUGGUUUAAUUCGAAGCAACGCGAAGAACCUUACCAAGGCUUGACAUCCUCUGACGCAUGUAGAAGUACAUGUUCCCUUCGGGGCAGAGUGACAGGUGGUGCAUGGUUGUCGUCAGCUCGUGUCGUGAGAUGUUGGGUUAAGUCCCGCAACGAGCGCAACCCUUAUUGCUAGUUGCCAGCACGUCAAGGUGGGAACUCUAGUGAGACUGCCGGGGACAACUCGGAGGAAGGUGGGGACGACGUCAAAUCAUCAUGCCCCUUAUGUCUUGGGCUACACACGUGCUACAAUGGCCGGUACAAAGGGCAGCGACCCCGCAAGGGUAAGCGAAUCUCAAAAAGCCGGUCCCAGUUCGGAUCGUGGGCUGCAACCCGCCCACGUGAAGUUGGAGUUGCUAGUAAUCGCGAAUCAGCAUGUCGCGGUGAAUGCGUUCCCGGGCCUUGUACACACCGCCCGU
rnacentral:rRNA from 1 species